GACGGAGGGUGCUAGCGUUGUUCGGAAUCACUGGGCGUAAAGGGCGCGUAGGCGGCCUUGCAAGUCGGUUGGUGAAAGCCCGGGGCUCAACCCCGGAGGUGCGGCCGAGACUGCAGGGCUGGAGGCCGGAAGAGGAGGGUGGAAUACCCAGUGUAGAGGUGAAAUUCGUAGAUAUUGGGUGGAACACCGGUGGCGAAAGCGGCUCUCUGGUCCGGACCUGACGCUGAGGCGCGAAAGCGUGGGAGCAAACAGG
rnacentral:rRNA from 1 species